rnacentral:tRNA from 2 species
GCCUCCAUAGCUCAGUGGUAGAGCCGUUCUCUCCUACAGAAUGGUCGUGGGUUCGAUCCCCACUGGGGGCAC